UUGAUAGCCACGGAUUUCGGUUAGAUUUCGCUUUAGGUUUUACCACGUUUAAGUUCGGAAAAGUCGAUGGAGUCACAGUAUAAUAAUAAAUGCUUAUAGGAAUUAUAGUUUGAGAAGUACGCGAGAGUGGCGCCAAAAUUAUAAUAACGCUGUGUUGUGUCACCUCAGAUUUGAAAACUCCCGGAUAACGAGCACCAAAUUAGUUGUGGGAUCCUGUGUCUUAAAAGGAUUAAAGGAUUUGUGACACCUUUCGUGUUAUGUCUAUAUUCGACGGAAAACGAACUUUCCUUGUAACUCGCGAUUCUUUUGAGAUAAAAAGAAAAUUCUUUUUGGAAAUUGUAGUUUAUUUGUUACCAAAUCAAUUCGAAAUUUAAAAAUAAUUGGGUCAGAGAGUGCUUCAUGGAGGCUGUUCAUCUGUGUCCAUAUUCUAUUUGUUAUUGAUAUUCCACAGAUUUCCACAGCAAAAAGAGGAAAUUGGAACUUGAAAAAAUCAAGAGGGGUAGUAAACAUUUGAUAAAAUUGGAUAGAUAAAAGAAAUAUGGAGUUGAAAAGGUUUUCAGAUGAGCAGAUAUGGUGUACACACUUUUGCCCUAUCCAUAAUAACACACUUUUGCCCUAUCCAUAAUAACACACUUUUGCCCUAUCCAUAAUAACACACUUUUGCCCUAUCCAUAAUAACACACUUUUGUCCUAUCCAUAAUAACACACUUUUGUCCUAUCCAUAAUAACACACUUUGAAAAAAAAAGCCGUUUAUUAAGUAAAGUUGAUUUGAAUUCCCAUAUUACAUGAAUGAUAUUGUAAUAUUGAUUACAAUUUUUCACAAUUCAUUCAUCACACUUUAUGGAAGCCAUAUAAAAUGGCUUACUCUUUCAAAAAUUAUGUGAUCUACAUAAAACUCCAAAAAAGA